rnacentral:rRNA from 1 species
CCUACGGGGGGCAGCAGUGGGGAAUAUUGGACAAUGGGCGAAAGCCUGAUCCAGCCAUGCCGCGUGUGUGAAGAAGGCCUUCGGGUUGUAAAGCACUUUCAGUGGGGAAGAAAGCCUUGGGGCUAAUACCCUCGAGGAAGGACAUCACCCACAGAAGAAGCACCGGCUAACUCCGUGCCACCAGCCGCGGUAAUACGGAGGGUGCGAGCGUUAAUCGGAAUUACUGGGCGUAAAGCGCGCGUAGGCGGUCUGAUAAGCCGGUUGUGAAAGCCCCGGGCUCAACCUGGGAACGGCAUCCGGAACUGUCAGGCUAGAGUGCAGGAGAGGAAGGUAGAAUUCCCGGUGUAGCGGUGAAAUGCGUAGAGAUCGGGAGGAAUACCAGUGGCGAAGGCGGCCUUCUGGACUGACACUGACGCUGAGGUGCGAAAGCGUGGGUAGCAAACAGGAUUAGAUACCCUUGUAGUC